UGAUAGGUCGGGUGUGUAAGCGUAGCGAUACGUUGAGCUAACCGAUACUAAUGAACCGUGAGGCUUAACCUUACAACGCCGAAGC
rnacentral:rRNA from 2 species